CUCAGGUCCCCUUCUACACUGUGGAAGCUUUGUUCUUUCGCUCUUUGCAAUAAAUCUUGCUACUGCUCACUCUUUGGGUCCACUCUGCUUUUAUGAGCUGUAACACUCACCGCGAAGGUCUGCAGCUUCACUCCUGAAGCCAGUGAGACCACGAGCCCACCUGGAGGAAGGAACAACUCCAGAGGCCCUGCCUUAAGAGCUGUAACACUCACCGCGAAGGUCUGCAGCUUCACUCCUGAAGCCAGCGAGACCACGAGCCCACCUGGAGGAACAAACAACUCCAGAGGCGCCGCCUUAAGAGCUGUAACACUCACCGCGAAGGUCUGCAGCUUCACUCCUGAGCCAGCGAGACCACGAACCCACCAGAAGGAAGAAACUCCGAAAACAUCUUAACAUCAGAAGGAACAAAUUCCAGACGCGCCAUCUUAAGAGCUGUAACACUCACCGCGAGGGGCGUGGCUUCAUGCUUGAAGUCAGUGAGACCAAGAACCCACCAAUUCUGGACACAUUAUGACCUUUGUUUCCUGCCAUGGAAGAAAAUUUAAAUUCCCAGGCUGAAGAAGCAAAUUAGGCCUCUCAAGCAGAAACCAACAGGAGUUUAUAGGAAUGAAUGCAGGAGGAAAUGACACCUGAGUUGAGCAGUAAGAGGUCUCAGAGAGAGGAGAACAAGAUUAAACCAAGUGGCCAAGCUGCCCAUGUGGAUAGGUACAAUGAGCAAGAAAUAAACCUUUGUUGUUUGAUGUCAGUGAG
rnacentral:lncRNA from 10 species